rnacentral:rRNA from 1 species
CCUACGGGAGGCAGCAGUGGGGAAUAUUGGGCAAGGGGCGCAAGCCUGACCCAGCAACGCCGCGUGAAGGAAGAAGGCUUUCGGGUUGUAAACUUCUUUUAUGAGGGACGAAACAAAUGACGGUACCUCAUGAAUAAGCCACGGCUAACUACGAGCCAGCAGCCGCGGUAAUACGUAGGGGGCAAGCGUUAUCCGGAUUUACUGGGUGUAAAGGGCGUGUAGGCGGGACUGCAAGUCAGAUGUGAAAAUUAUGGGCUCAACCCAUAACCUGCAUUUGAAAAUGUAGUUCUUGAGUGGUGGAGGGG